rnacentral:rRNA from 1 species
GACGAACGCUGGCGGCGUGCUUAACACAUGCAAGUCGAACGAAGAGCGAUGGAAGCUUGCUUCUAUCAAUCUUGGUGGCGAACGGGUGAGUAACGCGUAAUCAACCUGCCCUUCAGAGGGGGACAACAGUUGGAAACGACUGCUAAUACCGCAUACGAUCUAAUCUCGGCAUCGAGGAUAGAUGAAAGGUGGCCUCUACAUGUAAGCUAUCACUGAAGGAGGGGAUUGCGUCUGAUUAGCUAGUUGGAGGGGUAACGGCCCACCAAGGCGAUGAUCAGUAGCCGGUCUGAGAGGAUGAACGGCCACAUUGGGACUGAGACACGGCCCAGACUCCUACGGGAGGCAGCAGUGGGGAAUCUUCCGCAAUGGACGAAAGUCUGACGGAGCAACGCCGCGUGAGUGAUGACGGCCUUCGGGUUGUAAAGCUCUGUUAAUCGGGACGAAAGGCCUUCUUGCGAAUAGUGAGAAGGAUUGACGGUACCGGAAUAGAAAGCCACGGCUAACUACGUG